AUUACAUGACUACAAGUCCACAUAAAGAUCCGCCGUAGAUGGUUAAUCGCUAAGUUCAGCGGAUUGGUUGAUAGACUCCACUUCUUCCGAAACUAUUGAGUCAGAGGCUUGUUAUGAGUUAUGUUAUGCAUAGUUAAUGGGUAUGUUUGGGUCUUGUUCCGAUCUUAUGUUAGAUUUCACACUCCAAGAGGCUUGCAAACUUGUGUUGUAUAUGUAUGUAGGACAAGAAUGAGAAAACUAGAGCCAAAAAGAUGGAUUAUUAGAGUUUCAGAGUCUUAGGAGUCACAAAAGAAUUGUAGAGUUAGCUCGAAGGCGCAAUACCAAGUAUAGAGAUUAAAGUGAAGAAAAAUCAAGGAAGAAUAUUGCUAAAGUAACUGUGAAGCGCCAUGCUACGCGACUUUCGUUGAGUUAGCCUUGGUGAAGCAUAAUGAAAACAAGAAAGAAGUCCACUGGACAAAUGGCCUACCGCAUGCGCUGUGCAACAGGGUAAGGUAUAAAUCAGGUAGUUUUUGCAUUCUAUUUUAAUGAAGGGUAUUUUAUCCCUCUUUAUUUGGGAACUCUAUCUAUACAUUUGAAACAUGUUUUUUAGGAUUAUCAUGCCUAGUACGCAAAGAAAGGGGAGAAGAAUAAUAUUUCUGUAGGUUUCUUUGUAUUAUUUCUUUCUUUUCCUUUCAAUAUAUAUAUGUUAUUCAUGAAUGCUUUGUUUCGUAAUCAAAUCAUGAGUGGAUAAACGUUUUAAUUCUAGGGUUGUGACAUUUAAAUGAAGAUUGUAGUUUGAAAAUCGUAUGCUUAUGAAGAUUUUUCAUUA